GCGCGGGAAGCUCAUUCGGAUGAGCGGCGGACUGAAAAUCCGGCGGCAGGCGGUUCGAAUCCGCCCCCGCGCACCA
rnacentral:tRNA from 1 species